GUAUAGUAGUGCGUGUGCACAACAGUAAUUUCAUUACAUUCGAGUGGGUGUAAAUUCCUCUGCCGGCCGAAGCUAGCAAGAGGCCAAAGGUUCACAGGGGUAUUGGAUGAAAGCCACCGCCGUGCACUUGCCAGUUCUGGCCAGCACAGACGGCAACCAUUCGUAAUCAUUAAUGAUCCUUCCGCAGGUUCACCUACGGAAA
rnacentral:misc_RNA from 1 species